AUUGAACGCUGGCGGCAGGCCUAACACAUGCAAGUCGGGCGAGCCGCGGACGGGUGUGUUAUGUAUGGGGAUCUGCCUGAUGGCGGGGGACAACAACUAGAAACUGUAGCUAAUACCGCAUAGCCGCAGAUGCACCCAUAUGGGUUUAGCUAGUAGGUAAGGUAACGGCUUACCUAGGCCACGAUCCCUAGCUGGUCUGAGAGGAUGAUCAGCCACACUGGGACUGAGACACGGCCCAGACUCCUACGGGAGGCAGCAGUGGGGAAUAUUGCACAAUGGGCGCAAGCCUGAUGCAGCCAUGCCGCGUGUAUGAAGAAGGCCUUCGGGUUGUAAAGUACUUUCAGUCGGGAGGCGUUACCGACAGAAGAAGCACCGGCUAACUCCGUGCCAGCAGCCGCGGUAAUAC
rnacentral:rRNA from 1 species